rnacentral:rRNA from 1 species
GAGAGUUAAAUAGUACGUGAAAUUGUUGAAAGGGAAACGAUUGAAGCCAGUCGUACCUAUGGGUAAUCAGCCUUUUGGGUGUGAUUUUGUGGAGCGUGAGGAGUUAAACGCCUUCAUGCCUGCAUAUUCGUGCACUUUGGGUGUACUUGCCCGUAUGGUUGGUUAACAUCAAUUUUGGUGGUCAUAAAAUGACUGGAGGAAUGUAGCUUCGAUCUCGUAUUGAAGUGUUAUAGCCUUCGGUAGAUGUGAUGAUCGAGAUUGAGGAUUGCAACGGAUACCCUUCGGGGCUACCUGUCUGAUCUCUGAUCGUUGUUCUGGUGCCGAAAGCUUGCUUAUGAUGUUAGGGUAUUACGGUCAAAAGGUUAGAACGGAUUAAAUUCGUUAAGGAUGUUGACGUAAUGACUUUAAACGA